GAACGCACCUUGCGCCCUUUGGUCUUUCCAAUGGGCAUGCCUGUUUGAGUAUCGUGAACACCUCAACUCUCAUGGUUUGCCAUGAUGAGCUUGGACUUUGGGGGUCUUGCUGGCCUGUGGUCGGCUCCUCUCAAACGGAUCAGCUUGCCAGUGUUUGGUGGCACCACGGGUGUGAUAACUAUCUACGCUUGUGGUUUUCUGCCAGGUAACCUCCAGCGAUGGAGGUUCGCUGGGGCUCACAAAUGUCUCUCCUCAGCGAGGACAGCUUUUUGAACGUUUGAUCUCAAAUCAGGUAGGACUACCCGCUGAACUUAAG
rnacentral:misc_RNA from 1 species